rnacentral:rRNA from 1 species
UGGGGAAUAUUGCGCAAUGGGGGAAACCCUGACGCAGCAACGCCGCGUGAAUGAUGAAGGCCUUCGGGUUGUAAAGUUCUGUCUUCUGGGAAGAAAAUGACGGUACCUGACUAAGAAGCCCCGGCUAACUACGUGCCAGCAGCCGCGGUAAUACGUAGGGGGCAAGCGUUAUCCGGAUUUACUGGGUGUAAAGGGAGCGUAGGCGGCAAGACAAGUCUGAUGUGAAAGCCCGGGGCUCAACCCCGGGACUGCAUUGGAAACUGUUUAGCUAGAGUGUCGGAGAGGUAAGUGGAAUUCCUAGUGUAGCGGUGAAAUGCGUAGAUAUUAGGAGGAACAUCAGUGGCGAAGGCGACUUACUGGACGAUAACUGACGCUGAGGCUCGAAAGCGUGGGGAGCAAACAGG